UGCCUGUGAUUGCAUGUCAAUAAGAUCAA
rnacentral:sRNA from 1 species